rnacentral:rRNA from 1 species
CGAACGCUGGCGGCGUGCUUAACACAUGCAAGUCGAACGGAAAGGCCCUGCUUUUGUGGGGUGCUCGAGUGGCGAACGGGUGAGUAACACGUGAGUAACCUGCCCUUGACUUUGGGAUAACUUCAGGAAACUGGGGCUAAUACCGGAUAGGAGCUCCUGCUGCAUGGUGGGGGUUGGAAAGUUUCGGCGGUUGGGGAUGGACUCGCGGCUUAUCAGCUUGUUGGUGGGGUAGUGGCUUACCAAGGCUUUGACGGGUAGCCGGCCUGAGAGGGUGACCGGCCACAUGGGGACUGAGAUACGGCCCAGACUCCUACGGGAGGCAGCAGUGGGGAAUAUUGCACAAUGGGCGGAAGCCUGAUGCAGCAACGCCGCGUGCGGGAUGACGGCCUUCGGGUUGUAAACCGCUUUCGCCUGUGACGAAGCGUGAGUGACGGUAAUGGGUAAAGAAGCACCGGCUAACUACGUG